GGUUCCAGAAACAUAUUGGCUUUGUGAUAGUCCCCACUUUUUUAUUUCUAAUUAUCAAGUGGAUGCGUUCCUUGUCCAUGAAACUUUCAAAAUUACAGAUGAAGUUAUUUCUUUCUAAGAAAACAAGGUGACUAUGAUAUGCUUGAUCAGACUAAGGGUCAAAUCAGAACAAAUGGAGCCGGGCAGUGGUGCAAUGGAUAGCUGCCAAGCUUUGAAGUUUGAUGCUGAGGUGUCACACCGAAUACAGAUAAUGCUCAACUUGCUGGGACUUUUGCUGCGGCAGUGUGCAACAAAGG